rnacentral:ncRNA from 2 species
AAAAGUCGUUAGGGGUGCUCCCGUAAGAGGGGGCUGAGAUUAUACCCUUGAACCUGAUCUGGGUAAUGCCAGCGUAGGGAAACGGUCGAAGAAUAAU